CAAUAGCGUAUAUUAAAGUUGUUGCAGUUAAAAAGCUCGUAGUUGAAUUUUUGCUUGCCGCCGAUGUCGGAACUUCCGUACGUUCGGCGGCGUGCAUCCUUGGGUGGAACCUGUGUGGCAUUAGGUUGUCGUGCAGGGGAUGCUCAUCGUUUACUGUGAAAAAAUUAGAGUGUUCAAAGCAGGCUUACGCCGUUGAAUAUAUUAGCAUGGAAUAAUAAGAUAGGACCUUGGUACUAUUUUGUUGGUUUGCGCACCGAGGUAGUGAUUAACAGGGACAGUCGGGGGUAUUCGUAUUCCAUUGUCAGAGGUGAAAUUCUUGGAUUUCUGGAAGACGGACUACUGCGAAAGCAUUUACCAAGGAUGUUUUCAUUAA
rnacentral:rRNA from 1 species